rnacentral:rRNA from 1 species
CCUACGGGAGGCAGCAGUGGGGAAUAUUGGGCAAUGGAGGAAACUCUGACCCAGCAACGCCGCGUGAAUGAUGAAGGUCUUCGGAUUGUAAAGUUCUUUUCUAAGGGAAGAAGAAAGUGACGGUACCUUAGGAAUAAGCCUCGGCUAACUACGUGCCAGCAGCCGCGGUAAUCCGUCGGGGGCGAGCGUUAUCCGGAAUGACUGGGCGUAAAGGGUGCGUAGGUGGUUUGGCAAGUUAGUAGCGUAAUUCCGGGGCACAACCUUGGAACUACUACUAAAACUGUUGGACUUGAGUGCAGGAGAGGUAAGGGGAAGUCGGGGUGUAGCGGUGGAAUGCGUAGAUAUUAGGAGGAA